rnacentral:rRNA from 1 species
GGGGAAUUUUGGACAAUGGGCGCAAGCCUGAUCCAGCCAUGCCGCGUGUCUGAAGAAGGCCUUCGGGUUGUAAAGGACUUUUGUCAGGGAAGAAAAGGACAGGGUUAAUACCCCUGUUUGAUGACGGUACCUGAAGAAUAAGCACCGGCUAACUACGUGCCAGCAGCCGCGGUAAUACGUAGGGUGCGAGCGUUAAUCGGAAUUACUGGGCGUAAAGCGAGCGCAGACGGUUACUUAAGCAGGAUGUGAAAUCCCCGGGCUCAACCUGGGAACUGCGUUCUGAACUGGGUGACUAGAGUGUGUCAGAGGGAGGUAGAAUUCCACGUGUAGCAGUGAAAUGCGUAGAGAUGUGGAGGAAUACCGAUGGCGAAGGCAGCCUCCUGGGAUAACACUGACGUUCAUGCUCGAAAGCGUGGGUAGCAAACAGGAUUAGAUACCCUGGUAGUCCACGCCCUAAACGAUGUCAAUUAGCUGUUGGACAACUUGAUUGCUUAGUAGCGUAGCUAACGCGUGAAAUUGACCGCCUGGGGAGUACGGUCGCAAGAUUA